GACGAACGCUGGCGGCGUGCUUAACACAUGCAAGUCGAACGGUGAAGCGCCUUCCUUUUUGGUGGGUGUGGAUGAGUGGCGAACGGGUGAGUAACACGUGAGUAACCUGCCCCCUUCUUCUGGAUAACCGCAUGAAAGUGUGGCUAAUACGGGAUAUUCUGGGUCUGUCGCAUGAUGGGUCUGGGAAAGAUAUUGUUUCGGUGGGGGAUGGGCUCGCGGCCUAUCAGCUUGUUGGUGGGGUGAUGGCCUACCAAGGCGGUGACGGGUAGCCGGCCUGAGAGGGUGGACGGUCACACUGGGACUGAGACACGGCCCAGACUCCUACGGGAGGCAGCAGUGGGGAAUAUUGCACAAUGGGCGCAAGCCUGAUGCAGCGACGCCGCGUGAGGGAUGGAGGCCUUCGGGUUGCGAACCUCUUUCGCCAGUGAAGCAGGCCUGCCUCGUUUGUGGGUGGGUUGACGGUAGCUGGAUAAGAAGCGCCGGCUAACUACGU
rnacentral:rRNA from 1 species